rnacentral:rRNA from 1 species
CCCUACGGGGUGCAGCAGAGUGACGGAACAGGUUGAUGGAGCUAGGGCUCUGGCAAUGGACAUCAGCCUUUUGAGCAGAUAGGGCCGAAUCGCCGAUCACUCAAUCCAGGAGGAGAUUUGGGCCGGUCGGCCUCUCUUAUUAUGAUUUCAAUCAUAAUUCCUGGCAAAUUCCUCAUCUGACAUGGUGAAAAGGAUGAUAGCAUCAUAUAUGCUAAGAGUGAGUGUUAUGGCAAAUCCGAUUGCCGUCAGGCUAAUCAGGAUAUAUAUUAUUCCCAUCUUUAUGCUUCCAAGAUAGAACUUAUGCGCUCCAGCUAUCCCCAAAAACAGGGCAAGCAAUGCGGCAGUGAUUCUGCUUCGUCCCUCAUUGGCCGGGCGGGGGAGC